GCAGGCCUCAUCCGUCUCUCCAUAUAUCUCUCCUCCCUCUUGCUUUUGACAUAUCCCAUCCGCAAGAACGCAACUGUAGCACAGAUUUUCCCAUCGUAAAAAAGCUCAAGAUCCUGGUUCACACCCUCUCCGCCGGUUUGUUAGCGAGAUUCAAAACUUUUGUCUCCUAGAGUGCUCCCUGGUUCCUAUAAUAGAGCAUUCCGCAGUUAGCAUCAAUUCUGGCGGCCGGGCACCGCCGCCGCCCACCGGAUCUGGGCGGUCAGUCGAGCCGCCGCGUCGCCAACCCUGCAUGUCGCGAGGGCGCCGGCCCCGAACCCAAAGGCUGCCGCACGGUGCGCAGGCCAUCGAGCCGCUGGUCUAGAAGACCGCAUGCGCAGGCUACUGCACCGCCGGUCCUUGCAAGCCGCGGACGCAAGUUCACGACGCGCGAAGCACCUCGCGGGCGUGGACACCCUCGCCGGCUGUGACCCCGCCGGUCGCUGGCCACCACGCGGGCACAGGAGUGGACCACGCCGGCGGCCAGCGCGGGCGCUGCUCUGCUAGGCGCAAAGCCGCCGCAGGCCGGUCCUCCCCCGCAGGUGCCAGAAGACAACGAUGUGUUGACGGACUCCAUCAGGCAGGGAUUCACUGCCGGACCUCAUUGAGACGCUGGUGCUGGCCACAUCUCGCUGGCUGCCCCUGCCCCUGGCCCUGGCAGCACCCGCAUUGGCUUCUUGUCGCCGGCCAACGCCGGCUCGCUUCCGACUGUCUGGCCGCCGGUCGCCAUCAGCUAGUCGCCUGGACGGAUGGACGCCCAUGCCGCUGAUCGUGCCGCGCUCCAGCUCUGCCUGAUGCCGCGUCCGCAAAUUUAGUGGGGACACUCCAUAUAGAUGGAAGUUCGAUCCUCUACAGCUGAGUACAAGUUCCAAUGAGCAGAGUAGUGUCAAACAAGAGACGAAGCAAACAACUCUAGCGAGCAACGAAGAUCAGCACUAGAGGUUAAUUUUUUGUGGACAGUAGAAGUCAGAGCAAAUCAGGCAGUUCUUGCUCCCAGGAUUUGUCAAUAGUCUCCAGUUCCCCACUGGGGCAUCCGUCUAUGCGCCGUCAGGGCCAACCGUUGCCAGAGUAACAGAAGUUAGCUCAGAUCAGCGCAGCUCAUUUCUUUGGACUCUACAGAUAAAGUCACUAUCAGUACAUGUAACUUGGACCCUUGUUCAUCUAAAUCACUCUGUAUGAAUGUAUACAAAUAGAUAAAUGUUUAAGUAUUCGUACCUUCAAUCCCCUUCAUAUAGAAUAGCAUUUUAGACA